rnacentral:lncRNA from 1 species
UGCAACAAGAGCCACUCUUUUCUUUCCUUUGUCCUGUCCUGAAAGGGGGCAGGGACGGAGCAGGAGAGCCUGCAGACGCAGGGGACGUGCCAGACGUGCAACAGGAAGGGCUCGGCGAGAAGAGGACUGCGAGGAAGGAAGGCAGAGCUUUGGCCAGCUGGCCCCAGAAAUCCAUCAGUGGCCCAUCAGGGACCAGGCUAGCAGCUGUCACUCCCACCGUGGAAUUUAGUGCAUAAGAGAACUCAACUGAAGAAAUCAGAGAAGGAGGGAUUAUCUUCUGAGAAGCCCGGUUUCCAACUCCAGAGACAGUUGAAAAGACCGAAGUGGGGCCCUCCAUGUUGAGUCGUCAUCUGAACAAGUUGGAAUGGCUGUUAAGGACACUGGAUGUGUAAUUUCCUGCCGUAGCAAAUUGGAGGCUUCACACAGUCCUCUUGCUGUUGACCUGGUUAUAUUUUCCUGACUUGGUGCAGUCUUAAGAAGCAGUUGAAUUUGUCGAUUACGUUUGCUGGAGGGAGAAACUCAGGAUCAGUGAAGGUCAUUGGUAUUUCAUAGCUGCCCACUUGAUCUCUGAUCAAUCACAUAUAAUUCUCCCACUUACACAUGCAUUUUGCAGUUCUGUCAUGCAGGCAAUUCCAAUAGGAUAAAGUCCUUUUAAAAAUCAGAGGCAAAAAAACAAAGAGCACUGGGGCUGGCCUGGUGGUAUAGUGGUCAAGUUUGUGUGCUCUGCGUCGGCGGCCUGGGGUUCACGGUUUCAGAUCCCUGGCACAGACCUACACCACUCAUCAAAGCCAUGCUGUGGCAGCAACCCGCAUACAAAAUAGAGGAAGACUGGCAUAGAUGUUAGCUCAGGGCGAAUCUUACUUAUGCAAAAAGAGGAAGAUUGGCAACAGAUGUUAGCUCAGGGCCAAUUUUCCUCACCAAAAUAAAAAAAU